CUUGGGCUCACUUUGUAGCCCAGGCUGCUCUUGAAUUUACAGUGAUCCUCCUGCCUCAGCCUCCUGAGUGCUGGGAU
rnacentral:miRNA from 1 species